rnacentral:lncRNA from 1 species
UACAUUUAUGUAUUGUUUUUGGUUGUUACAACUAAUGAUACAAACACAUCCUUGAUUGCAGUGCAAUCAACAGACAGUACCCAGGACUAUGGGAACCAAUGAAAGUAGGGUUUAUACUCCUGAGGGACGUCAGAGAAGGGCCUUUGACCUGAGAUCUGUGGGAUGGAGGGGAUCCAUGGAAAGCAGGAUUUCUCAACUUAGCACUGUGAAUUUUAGACUAGAUAAUUCUGCAUUGAGGGGAGAAGGAAGAACUGUCUUGUGCAUUGUAGAAUGUUUAGCAGCCUCCCCAGCCUCUACCCACUAGAUGCCUAUAGCACACGCACACAUACACACAUUUGAUACACAUUAGUAUCAGAUAUCAAGAUUUCUAAAAUUCUGUCAGUGCUGAAGACUGUGUGAAGAUCUUCUUUCUAGUCUAGCCCAAGAUUUCUUGACCUUUAGUGAGAAAAAGAAUCUCCAGAGGAGCUUGUUUAAAAUGUAAAGCCCAAUUCAGUAAGUCUGGGGUGGGGCCCAGGAAUCUGUAUUUUAACAAUCCCGCUCCCCACCCCGGUGAUUCUGAAGCAGGUGAUACCACUUUGAGAAACACUCAUACAGUAAAAGCACCUUGAAGGAAUCUGUUCCAGUUCCUUCCCACCACUGACUUUGCUGUAGGACCCCCCCACCCCCCAUCUCACCCUAACUCUGCUUGGCUAAUUUGUUCAUAUCCAGAGCUCGUCCAGAAAGCUUUCCU